rnacentral:rRNA from 1 species
GCAUAACGCGAAGAACCUUACCUAGGCUUGACAUGCAUCUCUAAGCGCGUGAAAGCGCGUGACCCUUCGGGGGAUUUGCACAGGUGCUGCAUGGCCGUCGUCAGCUCGUGUCGUGAGAUGUUGGGUUAAGUCCCGCAACGAGCGCAACCCUUGUGAACAGUUGCCAGCACUUAAGGUGGGAACUCUGUUCAGACUGCCUAGAUCAACUGGGGAGGAAGGUGGGGACGACGUCAGGUCAGUAUGGCCCUUACGCCUAGGGCUGCACACGUACUACAAUGCCCAGCACAAUGAGAACCGAGACCGCGAGGUGGAGGAAAUCUAAAAAACUGGGCCCAGUUCGGAUUGGAGGCUGCAACUCGCCUCCAUGAAGUUGGAAUCGCUAGUAAUGGCGCAUCAGCUACGGCGCCGUGAAUACGUUCCCGGGUCUUGUACACACCG